UGAAUUAUUUAUGAGCCUCAUCCUUCUGC
rnacentral:piRNA from 1 species